UGGGGAAUCUUGCGCAAUGGACGAAAGUCUGACGCAGCGACGCCGCGUGAGUGAUGAAGGCCUUCGGGUUGUAAAGCUCUGUGGGGAGAGACGAAUAAGCGCGGGUUAAUAUCCCGCGCGAUGACGGUAUCUCCUUAGCAAGCACCGGCUAACUCUGUGCCAGCAGCCGCGGUAAGACAGAGGGUGCAAACGUUGUUCGGAAUUACUGGGCGUAAAGCGUGUGUAGGCUGCCAUGUAAGUCGGAUGUGAAAGCCCAGGGCUCAACCCUGGAAGUGCACUCGAUACUGCGUGGCUUGAGUACCGGAGAGGUUGGUGGAAUUCUCGGUGUAGAGGUGAAAUUCGUAGAUAUCGAGAGGAACAUCUGUGGCGAAGGCGGCCAACUGGACGAGUACUGACGCUGAGACACGAAAGCGUGGGGAGCAAACAGGAUUAGAUACCCCCGUAGUCCCUGAGCGGGCUGGCAAGGCGCAU
rnacentral:rRNA from 1 species